AUUGAACGCUGGCGGCAGGCCUAACACAUGCAAGUCGAACGAGUGGCGGACGGGUGAGUAAUGUCUGGGAAACUGCCCGAUGGAGGGGGAUAACUACUGGAAACGGUAGCUAAUACCGCAUACCAUCGGAUGUGCCCAGAUGGGAUUAGCUUGUAGGUGAGGGAACGGCUCACCUAGGCGACGAUCCCUAGCUGGUCGGAGAGGAUGAACAGCAACACUGGAACGGAGACAAGGUCCAGACGCCUACGGGAGGCAGCAGUGGGGAAUAUUGCACAAUGGGCGCAAGCCUGAUGGAGCCAUGCCGCGUGUAUGAAGAAGGCCUUCGGAUUGUAAAGGACUGUCAGCGGGGAGGCGUUACCCGCAGAAGAAGCACCGGCUAACUACGUGCCAGCAGCCGCGGGAAUAC
rnacentral:rRNA from 1 species